rnacentral:rRNA from 1 species
GCGUCUGAUUAGCUUGUUGGCGGGGUAACGGCCCACCAAGGCGACGAUCAGUAGGGGUUCUGAGAGGAAGGUCCCCCACAUUGGAACUGAGACACGGUCCAAACUCCUACGGGAGGCAGCAGUGAGGAAUAUUGGUCAAUGGGCGAGAGCCUGAACCAGCCAAGUAGCGUGCAGGAAGACGGCCCUAUGGGUUGUAAACUGCUUUUAUAAGGGAAUAAAGUGAGUCUCGUGAGACUUUUUGCAUGUACCUUAUGAAUAAGGACCGGCUAAUUCCGUGCCAGCAGCCGCGGUAAUACGGAAGGUCCGGGCGUUAUCCGGAUUUAUUGGGUUUAAAGGGAGCGUAGGCCGGAGAUUAAGCGUGUUGUGAAAUGUAGACGCUCAACGUCUGCACUGCAGCGCGAACUGGUUUCCUUGAGUACGCACAAAGUGGGCGGAAUUCGUGGUGUAGCGGUGAAAUGCUUAGAUAUCACGAAGAACUCCGAUUGCGAAGGCAGCUCACUGGAGCGCAACUGACGCUGAAGCUCGAAAGUGCGGGUAUCGAACAGGAUUAGAUACCCUGGUAGUCCGCACGGUAAACGAUGGAUGCCCGCUGUUGGUCUGAAUAGGUCAGCGGCCAAGCGAAAGCAUUAAGCAUCCCACCUGGGGAGUAC